rnacentral:rRNA from 1 species
UACAGAGGAUGCGAGCGUUAAUCGGAAUUACUGGGCGUAAAGCGUGCGUAGACGGUUAUUUAAGUCGGGUGUGAAAGCCCCGGGCUCAACCUGGGAAUUGCAUUCGAGACUGAAUAGCUAGGGUACGGUAGAGGGAAGUGGAAUUUCCGGUGUAGCGGUGAAAUGCGUAGAUAUCGGAAGGAACAUCAGUGGCGAAAGCGACUUCCUGGACCAGUACCGACGUUCAGGCACGAAAGCGUGGGGAGCAAACAGG